UACGAAGGGGGGCUAGCGUUGCUCGGAAUCACUGGGCGUAAAGCGCACGUAGGCGGCUUGUUAAGUCAGGGGUGAAAUCCUGGAGCUCAACUCCAGAACUGCCUUUGAUACUGGCGAGCUUGAGUUCGGGAGAGGUGAGUGGAACUGCGAGUGUAGAGGUGAAAUUCGUAGAUAUUCGCAAGAACACCAGUGGCGAAGGCGACAUCCUGGACCGGUAUUGACGCUGAGGAGCGAAAAGCGUGGGGAGCGAACAGG
rnacentral:rRNA from 1 species